rnacentral:rRNA from 1 species
AACGAACGCUGGCGGCAGGCUUAACACAUGCAAGUCGAACGCCCCGCAAGGGGAGUGGCAGACGGGUGAGUAACGCGUGGGAACAUACCCUUUCCUGCGGAAUAGCUCUGGGAAACUGGAAUUAAUACCGCAUACGCCCUACGGGGGAAAGAUUUAUCGGGGAAGGAUUGGCCCGCGUUGGAUUAGCUAGUUGGUGGGGUAAAGGCCUACCAAGGCGACGAGCCAUAGCUGGUCUGAGAGGAUGAUCAGCCACAUUGGGACUGAGACACGGCCCAAACUCCUACGGGAGGCAGCAGUGGGGAAUAUUGGACAAUGGGCGCAAGCCUGAUCCAGCCAUGCCGCGUGAGUGAUGAAGGCCUUAGGGUUGUAAAGCUCUUUCACCGAUGAAGAGAAUGACGGUAGUCGGAGAAGAAGCCCCGGCUAACUUCGUGCCAGCCGCCGCGGUAACAC